rfam:Xenopus laevis strain J chromosome 4L, whole genome shotgun sequence.
UGGGAUGUAGCUCAGUGGUAGAGCGCAUGUUUGAGGCCCCGGGUUCAAUCCCUGGCAUCUCCA